rnacentral:tRNA from 4 species
GGGCCUAUAGCUCAGCUGGGAGAGCGCUUGGUUCGCAUUCAAGAGGUCAGGGGUUCGAAUCCCCUUAGGUCCACCA